GUAGGUGGCAAGCGUUGUCCGGAAUUAUUGGGCGUAAAGCGCGCGCAGGCGGUUCUUUAAGUCUGAUGUGAAAGCCCACGGCUCAACCGUGGAGGGUCAUUGGAAACUGGAGAACUUGAGUACAGAAGAGGAAAGCGGAAUUCCACGUGUAGCGGUGAAAUGCGUAGAGAUGUGGAGGAACACCAGUGGCGAAGGCGGCUUUCUGGUCUGUAACUGACGCUGAGGCGCGAAGGCGUGGGGAGCAAACAGGGAUUAGAUACCCUGGUAGUCCACGCCGUAAACGAUGAGUGCUAAGUGUUAGGGGGUUUCCCGCCCCUUAGUGCUGCAGCUAACGCAUUAAGCACUCCGCCUGGGGAGUACGGCCGCAAGGCUG
rnacentral:rRNA from 1 species